rnacentral:rRNA from 1 species
GGAUCAUAUGCCGGUCGUGCUUUCGGUACGUACUGGUAUCAUUGGUUUCUCCUUUCUGACGAACCAUGAUGUCAUUAAUUUGGUGUUAUGGGGAGUUAGGACUGUUACUUUGAAAAAAUUAGAGUGUUUAAAGCAGGCUUACGCUUGAAUACAUUAGCAUGGAAUAAUGAAAUAGGACGUUUGAUUCUAUUUUGUUGGUUUCUAGGAUUGACGUA